UCUGCUCAAUGAUUUUUUAAAUUGCUGUAGUAUUUUGACUAUACAAAGGUAUUGUAAUAAGACUUUAAUUGAGUGCUAAGAGAAUGGAUUUUCAAAAAAAUUCUUUUUUAAGUUUAAAAAUUAAAGUUAUUUUUAUUUGUGAAGAAACAAUAAUAAAAAUUAAAGACAAGAAGACCCUAUGAAUUUUUAUAAACUUUAAUAUUUAAUUAAAUAUUAAAGUUUAUUUAAUUGGGGCGAUUGAGAAAGAUAAAAAACUUUUUUUUUAUUUAAAGAGAUCCAUUAUUAAUGAUUUUAUGUAAAAAAUACUCUAGGGAUAA
rnacentral:rRNA from 1 species